CACGUAGGCGGUUGAUCAAGUGCAGAGUGAAAGCCCACGGCUCACCCGUGGAAUUGCUUUGCAUACUGGUCGACUAGAGGUCGGGAGAGGAGAGCGGAACUCUUGGAGGAGCGGUGAAAUGCGUAGAUAUCAAGAGGAACACCAGAGGCGAAGGCGGCUCUCUGGCCCGAAUCUGACGCUGAGGUGCGAAAGCCAGGGUAGCGAACG
rnacentral:rRNA from 1 species